UACGCAGGGGACUAGCGUUGUUCGGAAUUACUGGGCGUAAAGCGCACGUAGGCGGAUUUGUAAGUCAGGGGUGAAAUCCCGGGGCUCAACCUCGGAACUGCCUUUGAUACUGCAAGUCUCGAGUCCGAUAGAGGUGGGUGGAAUUCCUAGUGUAGAGGUGAAAUUCGUAGAUAUUAGGAAGAACACCGGUGGCGAAGGCGGCCCACUGGAUCGGUACUGACGCUGAGGUGCGAAAGCGUGGGGAGCAAACAGG
rnacentral:rRNA from 1 species